CCGUAGGUGAACCUGCGGAAGGAUCAUGG
rnacentral:rRNA from 1 species